AACCUAUUUGCUCAAAUGGUAGAGUAUUAUGCAGAUGCAUAGGGGAUGUAGGUUCGAUUCCUACAUAGGUUG
rfam:Spinacia oleracea cultivar SynViroflay scaffold80700.con0001.1, whole genome shotgun sequence.